rnacentral:lncRNA from 1 species
AGCCACUCAGACAGGCGGCCGAGAGGGCGAGUCGAGCCAUCACAAAGAGCUGCAGAAGAUGGUGGGGAAGGCAACUACAGACGGGGAGAAAACCAGGCGGCGUACGUGUAAAGGUCCACGUGUCUACUUUAAGUGAUAUUGAAAGGGGUGCCUGAAAAACUCGUGCUUAAUGGGUAAAGUCAUUGGCUGACAUAUGCAUCAAGUGUCGUCGAUGGCUUCAAAAGUUGGGCGGC